AGAAUGAACGCUAGCGAUAUGCUUAACACAUGCAAGUUGAACGUUGUUUUCGAAUCAGAAUGAGAGCAAAGUAGCGAACGGGUGCGUAACACGUGGGAAUCUGCCGAACAGUUUGGGCCAAAUCCCGAAUGAAUAAAAGCUAAAAAGCGCUGUUUGAUGAGCCCACGUAGUAUUAGGUAGUUGGUUAGGUAAAAGCUGACCAAGCCUACGAUGCUUAGCUGGUCUUUUCGGAUGAUCAGCCACACUGGGACUGAGACACGGCCCAGACUCCUACGGGAGGCAGCAGUGGGGAAUCUUGGACAAUGGGCGAAAGCCUGAUCCGGCAAUAUGGCGUGAGUGAAGAAGGGCAACGCAGCUUGUAAAGCUCUUUCAUCGAGUGUGCGAUUGUGACAAGACUCGAAUAAGAACGCCCCGGCUAACUCCGCGCCAGCAGCCGC
rnacentral:rRNA from 1 species